AGCAGUGGGGAAUUUUGGACAAUGGGCGAAAGCCUGAUCCAGCAAUGCCGCGUGAGUGAAGAAGGCCUUCGGGUUGUAAAGCUCUUUUGUCAGGGAAGAAACGGUGAGGGCUAAUAUCUCUUGCUAAUGACGGUACCUGAAGAAUAAGCACCGGCUAACUACGUGCCAGCAGCCGCGGUAAUACGUAGGGUGCAAGCGUUAAUCGGAAUUACUGGGCGUAAAGCGUGCGCAGGCGGUUUUGUAAGUCUGAUGUGAAAUCCCCGGGCUCAACCUGGGAAUUGCAUUGGGAGACUGCAAGGCUAGAAUCUGGCAGAGGGGGGUAGAAUUCCACGUGUAGCAGUGAAAUGCGUAGAUAUGUGGAGGAACACCGAUGGCGAAGGCAGCCCCCUGGGUCAAGAUUGACGCUCAUG
rnacentral:rRNA from 1 species